CCUGUUGAUGAUGAGGAUCUGGUUUUACUAAUCCUUAAUGGUUUUCCUGAUGAAAAUAAUGCAUUCAAAACUGCAAUCAGAACUAGAGUUGAAACCAUUUCUAUUGGUGAGUAAUGUUCUCUGUUAAAUUUUGAAU